AGUUUUGCUAGCAGAAAAUACGACUCUCUUCUAUGCUGUGGUAAAAUAGUACAACCACAAGGCCAGGAUCCAUAGAAUGUGACCAGCUGUUUCAGUGGUUUUCUGUUACUAUUUGUGAAGUCUUCAUUCUUGUCAUCUCUAGCAGAAGAGUGGUGCCAGUUGCCAGAGGUUUGAGGAAAAAGAAGUCAUGGGAGAAUUUACAUUUCAGAAAAUUCCAUUCAUUGACUUAAUUAUUUCUGGGAAUUCAGAAAAGACCACCAUGAUCCUUUAGCCGCGAAAACACUUGGGCCAGUUUUGGAAAUGCUAGAAUCCUGCAGGAGAAGCUUUUGAGAAAUUCAGUACUGUGCAGUGUUGUAACCCGAAUACUUUGCUGGGAGAAAGGGUUACUGAGAGAUCAUAUUCACAAAUCAACGUGCAAUAGUGAAAAAAGAUGGCAACACUGAAGAACCUUACUGAAUAACCCAGUAUGGACCACGUAUUGUAAUAGGCACUUAAUUUCUCUCAAUCCUUUCGAUAUCUCCUUGAAAUAGGUACUAUUAGCCCUCAAUUUACAGAUAAGAAAACUGAGGCUGAGGCGAAGGUCAUAUGAUAGCUGCUUAAUAAAAUUUGCUGAUCGAAUGAAGGAGCUAAUGAAUUCAAUAAAAUCAGGGAAGGCUUCUUGGAGGAGGAGCACCUUGCUCCAGUGGGCUGAGAAGACAUUCCAUGAGACCAGAGCAAGGAGAGGAGUGGCCUGGCAGCUGAAGCCAGAGACAGACUUGAACCUGGAGGUAUGAAAGCCUGUGUGGGGGAUCAGGUAGUCUGUACAAUCUUGGGGCUUGGUAGGUUUCAAGUGGAGGCCACACUGCGGGGAGAUUGUAGGGGUUGACAGGGAAUUCUGAUUAAGCUAUUUCAG
rnacentral:lncRNA from 10 species